rnacentral:piRNA from 1 species
UACCUGGUCUCCUUUCAUUAAAAAGAUAGGU